rnacentral:rRNA from 1 species
CAAAAACAUCGCCUCCUGAUAAACCAUAAGAGGUCCAGCCUGCCCAGUGACAUUGUUCAACGGCCGCGGUAUCCUAACCGUGCGAAGGUAGCGUAAUCACUUGUCCUUUAAAUGGGGACUAGUAUGAACGGCUUCACGAAUGCUAUACUGUCUCCUUUUUCUAAUCAGUUAAACUAAUCUUCCCGUGAAGAAGCGGGAAUACUCCUAUAAGACGAGAAGACCCUAUGGAGCUUUAAGCAAUUAAGACACCUGAACCAAUUUUUCCAAAUUUUAUAAAACCUAUCACCCUGUCUUUAGUUUUAGGUUGGGGCGACCAAGGAGAAAAAAUUAUCCUCCACGCAGAAAGAAAUAUUUCUUAGCAAAAAGCUACACCUUAAUGCAUCAAAACAUUGACCUAUAUUGACCCAUUAUUUGAUCAACGAACCAAGUUACCCUAGGGAUAACAGCGCAAUCCACUUUAAGAGCCCCUAUCGACAAGUGGGUUUACGACCUCGAUGUUGGAUCAGGGUAUCCUAGUGGUGCAGCCGCUACUAAUGGUUCG